UCGUAGUUGAAUUUGUGUCUCGCGCUGUCGGUUCAUCGCCUGCGUGCGGUGUUAACUGGCACGCCGCGGGACGUCUUGCCGGAAGGACCGGUAUGUGUUUGCUUCGUGUCGUUCUUGAUGUCCAUGUUACUCUAAUGUCCAUAAUUUUAUGAUUUGUUGUUGUGGUAUAUUUAUAUUUUAAACGGUAUAUUAUAUAUUACACACAUUUCUUAUUAUGGGUUCAUAUUGUCAUGGCUCCAUCAUGCUUCGGCCGGCUUAGUGCGUACGUAGUCCGACUUUAAUCCUGUCUAGGUGCUCUUAACUGAGUGUCGUGGCGGGCCGGCACGUUUACUUUGAACAAAUUAGAGUGCUUAAAGCAGGCUAUUGUUGCCUGAAUACAGUGUGCAUGGAAUAAUGAAACAGGACCUCGGUUCUAUUUUGUUGGUUUUCGGAAUUACGAGGUAAUGAUUAAUAGGGACAGAUGGGGGCAUUCGUAUUGCGACGUUAGAGGUGAAAUUCUUGGAUCG
rnacentral:rRNA from 1 species